rnacentral:rRNA from 1 species
UUUUCAUAGGUGAACCUACGGAAAGAUCAUUUUCGAAACAUGCAUUGCAGAAUGACCCGCGAACACAUUUAAACAUUGGGGAGCCAAGCAGGCAGGGUUCUUCGGCCCCUCCUCUGUGCGUCUUUCUCCCGUCCCCGAUGCUCGCUCACACGUGGUGGUUGACUAAUGAACCCUAGUGCAGAAAGCUAUAAGGAAUACUAAAUUGAUAGUUUUCCUCUCGUGUCACGUCUGCGGUGCACGCGGGAGGACCUAUGCUUCUUUUGAAACAAUAAUAACUCUCGGCAAUGGAUAUCUCAGAUCUCACAUCGAUGAAGAACGUAGCGAGAUGUGAUACUUGGUGUGAAUUGCAUAAUUAUGUGAACCAUUAAGUCUUUGAACGCAAGUUGCACCCGAAACCAUUAGGCCGAAGGCGCAUCUUCUUGGGCAUCAUGCAUCGUGUUGCCCCCGCACACCACACCCAUACUGUGGGAUGUGGUGGUGUUGUGGGGUAGAUACUGGCCUCCCGUGCUUCUUGAUCUCACGAUUGGUGUUUGUAACCCAACUCUUGUAAUGUCACGGCAAGAGCCCAUCGUAUGUUUGGACCCUCAGACUCUCUUCGCGCUUAGGCGCUCCGAUUGUGACCAUAGGUCAGGCAGUAUUACCCACUGAGUUUGA